UAAUUGGCAAAUGUUCCUACAGAAUAAGGGGCAGAGCUAUAGGUGGGACCCCCUGCCCCCCCCAUUUAAUAUGUGAGAGUUGUGCCCUCUCCUCGCUGAGCUCUCAUGUCAACUGUUACCCUGGGGUAAAUAUCUCCCCCAACUGCGGGGCAAAUUCCCUUCAUGGCACUUUAUUAAACAUGGCUGCUGGGCCCUAAUGCCAGAGGUAAAGGGGCAAACGAAUGAGCAGAACAAUUAGGAAGAUGCUUUGCUUCCCCUUUAACAGCUGAUUGGCUAAUGAUGUCAGAAGAGUAUGUGAUGUCAUUUCCUGCUUGGGGCCCCCGGGAGCUCAAAUGGUUCAGCCCUCAGAGUCUGUGGAUGUUGGAGAGAUGGGGCCCAUUUUGUGCCUCUUCCUUGCCCUGUGGGGGCCACACUUCUGUGCGGCGCAGCCGGUGGUACAGACGCCGGGGUUCCUGCUGGCCCAGUCGGGCCGUAACAUCACCAUUCAGUGCCGGCACAGUGACAGCACCAAGCUCAGCAAGUUCUGGUACCGACAGGAGGGGGGCGGAGCCCUGGUGCUCAUGGGAUAUUCCUACACCACCAGUACCAUAGAGAUGGAGGAAGGGUUCCCUGGGGGCAAAUUCAGCAUCACCCCCGAGUCUGUGGAGCACAGUGUCCUGUCCAUCUCUGCUGUCUCUGCCCGGGACGGUGCCACCUACUACUGUGCCAGCAGCACCCACAGCGACACGGGGAGGGGGGCACCCUGUGUGGAACUGAGAGACCCCCCCCCCACCAGCACUGAGACACAGGGAGGGGGGCACCCUGUACAGAACUGA